rnacentral:rRNA from 1 species
GGGCCCGCACAAGCGGUGGAGUAUGUGGUUUAAUUCGAAGCAACGCGCAGAACCUUACCAGCCCUUGACAUGUUAGGUUUGAUUACCAGAGAUGGUUUUCUUCAGUUCGGCUGGCCUAAACACAGGUGCUGCAUGGCUGUCGUCAGCUCGUGUCGUGAGAUGUUGGGUUAAGUCCCGCAACGAGCGCAACCCUCAUCUUCUGUUGCCAGCGGUUCGGCCGGGCACUCUGAAGAAACUGCCUGCGAUGAGCAGGAGGAAGGCGGGGAUGACGUCAAGUCCUCAUGGCCCUUAUGGGCUGGGCUACACACGUACUACAAUGGUAGAGACAGAGGCAGCCCACCUGGUGACAGGGAG